UGUGUGUGUGUGUGUGUGUGUGUGUGUGUGUGUGUGUGUGUGUGUGUGUGUGUGUAUGUGUGUGUGUGUGUGUGUGUGUGUGUGUGUGUGUGUGUGUGUGUGUGUGUUUGUUUGUUUGUUUGUUUGUUUGUGCGCGCGUGCACACAUGGCACAAGCAUCGUUACAACGGGUUCCUUCUUUUUCAAGGUGAAAGUGGCUUUGCUCUUCAUCAUAUUCACUUGUGGAUUACAAGGUGUGCUCCCACGCAAUACUCAUCCAUUUGCUUAUUGACUUAUCUGCUUAUGACAUACCCAUCAAGGGAAAACAGCCUAGGUGCGGCGUCCUCUUGUGCUUCACUUGUGCUCUCACACUCAUGAUAUGCAUACAUUAAUAUUACUGAUCCAUUGUACGUAAUUGUUUCUCACUCACGUCUCAGUUUGUACUUAUCCACGUGUUGUGAUUGUAUUUAUUUACUUGACUUACGAUCGAAAUUAAUGUAUCUAUUUUUCUUCUUUUCGUAACAAAAUAAAGGCAGAGAAACUUCA